CAACACCAGGCUGUGUCUUUCUAUCACGGAUUUCCACCUGGACACGUGGAACCCAGCCUGGCCUGUCUGCACAAUCCUGACUGGACUCCUGAGCUUCAUGGUGGAGAAGGGCCCUACCCUGGGCAGCAUAGAGAUGUCAGACUUCACGAAAAGACAGCUAGCAGCACAGAGGUCAGCCUUUAAUUUAAAAGAUAAAGUCUUUUGUGAAUUAUUUCCUGAAGUUGUGGAGGAAAUUAAACAAAAACAGAAAGCACAAGACGAACUCAGUAGCAGACCCCAGACUCUCCCCUUGCCAGACGUGGUUCCAGACGGGGAGACACACCUUGUCCAGAACGGGAUUCAGCUUCUCGACGGGCACGCGCCAGGGGCCGUCCCAAACCUCCCGAGGCUCCUGCAGGCCAACGGGCACCGCGGACUCCUGGGCGGCGCCCUGGCGAACUUGUUUGUUGUAGUCGGGUUUGCAGCCUUCGCCUACACCGUCAAGUACGUGCUGAGGAGCAUCGCGCAGGAGUGAGGCCUGGCACCGAGACCAGGGCGCCACGGAGGGCGCGUGGCACGAGCGUGACCUGGGCCGGCCGGACACGCUGCCCAGCACAGGCAGACCCACCAGGCUCCUGGGUUUCGGUUUUAAAAACCUGGAAAGGAAAGCAAAAGCCAAAAUGUGUGACUGGGCUUAGGAGGAGACUGGAGACUCAGCCCUGCCCUGGCCACGUGCCGCCCGGGCUGGCGUGGAGGGGCUGCUGGCGUGCUGGUUUUGUAGCUUAUCUUCUGUGUUGUCUUUGGAUCUGUUUUAGUGAACCCGUUUUUCAUU